CCUACGGGGUGCAGCAGUGAGGAAUAUUGGUCAAUGGACGAGAGUCUGAACCAGCCAAGUAGCGUGAAGGAUGACUGCCCUAUGGGUUGUAAACUUCUUUUAUAUGGGAAUAAAAUGUUCCACGUGUGGGAUUUUGUAUGUACCAUAUGAAUAAGGACCGGCUAACUCCGUGCCAGCAGCCGCGGUAAUACGGAGGAUCCGAGCGUUAUCCGGAUUUAUUGGGGUUAAAGGGAGCGUAGGUGGAUUGUUAAGUCAGUUGUGAAAGUUUGCGGCUCAACCGUAAAAUUGCAGUUGAAACUGGCAGUCUUGAGUACAGUAGAGGUGGGCGGAAUUCGUGGUGUAGGGGUGAAAUGCUUAGAUAUCACGAAGAACUCCGAUUGCGAAGGCAGUUCACUGGACUGCAACUGACACUGAGGCUCGAAAGUGUGGGUAUCAAACAGGAUUAGAUACCCGGGUAGUC
rnacentral:rRNA from 1 species